UUUUUUUAAUUGACAAAAAACUUAUCUCUAAAUGAUAAAUUUAAAAGAGUGUUUAUAAAAAUAUAAAUGAUUUUAUAGUCAAUUAAAUAUUUUAAGAUAGUAAUGACAAUAAGGGCAAAGUUGGAAUUUUGUUUGUUGUUUAUUCAAAAUUGAUAAUAAAUUAGUGUAAAGAUUAUUUUUGAAAGUUUCUCCCUUUUAAAAGAUUAUUUAUGAUAUUUCAAUUUUUAUAGGGGCAUUCAUGAUAUUAGACUUAUUUGGAAGGAUAGUGAUGAAAUUUUCUUUUUUCUUU
rnacentral:lncRNA from 1 species